UACCGGCGGCUCGAGUGGUGGCCACUUUUAUUGGGCUUAAAGCGUUCGUAGCUGGGUUGUUAAGUCUCUUGGGAAAUCUGACGGCUCAACCGUCAGGCGUCUAAGGGAUACUGGCAAUCUUGGAACCGGGAGAGGUGAGGGGUACUUCGGGGGUAGGAGUGAAAUCCUGUAAUCCUCGAGGGACCACCUGUGGCGAAGGCGCCUCACCAGAACGGCUUCGACAGUGAGGGACGAAAGCUGGGGGAGCAAACCGGAUUAGAAACCCCAGUAGUCC
rnacentral:rRNA from 1 species